CAGGGCACAUAGAAACAGUUCCUCCUCCGCCCUGGUCCCUGCCAACAAAGACCAAGCCAGCUGCAGGCAAUCACCAGGCAACCGGCUUCUAACCCGGCCUCCAGAAACCAACUUCCCUCCACCUGGUUGGAGCACAGGAUUUUAGCUUUUCUUAGGAUCACUUUACCAGCUGGCCAGCCAUGACCUGAGAAUAUGUGUCUCUUUCAGAAACAUGUCCGACCAACGUAAUCAGUUAAUGAAGUAACUUGGAAACCCAGACCAUGCAAAAGAGACGUGUAAAACGUGAAGAACAGAGUCAGUCAGCACUUGGGAAACACUCAACAAUGCACACCUGGUUUCCUAAGGUUUAAAAUGUAUAAUCAAAUGACACGAAAUAAUGAAGACACCACUGGGAAAGUAUCUGACUCCCAAACCAAAUAAUGGGGCAACUUGGAAAUCCAGACCACUUGGAACAGAUUUGUUAAAGUGCCAGGGACAGGAAUCCUACCCAGGUGAUGAUCAGUAAACAUUUAUUGAUACUGACCAUGUUUUCUUCAGGUUUAAAAUAAAACAUCUGGAAGGAUUACAGGAUCACUUGGGGUUCUUCCUGAAAUAUUACGAUAUCAAUGUAAGAAUUCAAAACACCACAACUCUGGGGCACCUGGGUGGCUCAGUUGGUUAAGUGUCUGCCUUCAGCUCAG